AUUGAACGCUGGCGGCACGCCUAACACAUGCAAGUCGAGCGGCAGCGAGACUAGUAGCAAUACUAGUUGUCGGCGAGCGGCGGACGGGUGAGUAACACGUAGGAAUCUGCCCUUAAGCGGGGGAGAACAAAGGGAAACUUUGGCUAAUACCGAAUAAUCUCGAGAGAGCAAAGACGCCCGAACGGGUGGCACUUGAGGAGGAGCCGGCGUCGGACUAGCUAGUUGGUGGGGUAAUGGCCUACCAAGGCGAUGAUCGGUAACUGGUCUGAGAGGACGACCAGUCACACUGGGACUGCGACACGGCCCAGACUCCUACGGGAGGCAGGAGUGGGGAAUAUUGGACAAUGGGGGCAACCCUGAUCCAGCGAUGCCGCGUGAGUGAAGAAGGCCUUCGGGUCAUAAAGCUCUUUAGUUUGGGAAGAAGGGUAUUGGCUUAAUAAUCCAGUACUUUGACGGUACCGACAGAAUAAGCACCGGCAAACUCUGUGCCAGCCGCCGCGGUAAAAC
rnacentral:rRNA from 1 species